CGGACGGGUGAGUAAUGUCUGGGAAACUGCCCGAUGGAGGGGGAUAACUACUGGAAACGGUAGCUAAUACCGCAUAAUGUCUACGGACCAAAGCGGGGGACCUCCGGGCCUCGCGCCAUCAGAUGAACCCAUAUGGGAUUAGCUAGUAGGUGAGGUAACGGCUUACCUAGGCGACGAUCCCUAGCUGGUCUGAGAGGAUGACCAGCCACACUGGAACUGAGACACGGUCCAG
rnacentral:rRNA from 1 species